GAGGAAUAUUGCACAAUGGGGGAAACCCUGAUGCAGCAACGCCGCGUGGAGGAUGACGCAUUUCGGUGUGUAAACUCCUUUUAUAUGUCAAGAAAAUGACGGUAGCAUAUGAAUAAGCACCGGCUAACUCCGUGCCAGCAGCCGCGGUAAUACGGAGGGUGCAAGCGUUAUUCGGAAUCACUGGGCGUAAAGGACGCGUAGGCGGGUUUGUAAGUCAGGUGUGAAAUCCUACAGCUUAACUGUAGAACUGCACUUGAAACUACUAACCUAGAGUAUGGGAGGGGGAGAUGGAAUUAGUGGUGUAGGGGUAAAAUCCGUAGAUAUCACUAGGAAUACCUAAAGCGAAGGCGAUCUCCUGGAACAUUACUGACGCUAAGGCGUGAAAGCGUGGGGAGCAAAC
rnacentral:rRNA from 1 species